CGGCUGAAGUGGCAGGCCAUCAAAAACUGUACAGUGUGACUGAUUCGGAGACGGCCCUCAACACUCGCCCAGUCGUGUCGAGAGGAUCGGUGUCUUUGCAGAUUACACGGAAUUGAGCACCCGGGCCAGACUGACACUUUCCGGAGCCUGCCCUAGACGGAACUCGAGCCGAGGAAUCAUAGGUCCAGGCGGUGUCGAAAUGGGUCUAUAGCUCUGCCUGAACUGUCGUCCAAUUGGUUUACAAGUCCGGCUGAAGUGGCAGGCCAUCAAAAACUGUACAGUGUGACUGAUUCGGAGACGGCCCUCAACACUCGCCCAGUCGUGUCGAGAGGAUCGGUGUCUUUGCAGAUUACACGGAAUUGAGCACCCGGGCCAGACUGACACUUUCCGGAGCCUGCCCUAGACGGAACUCGAGCCGAGGAAUCAUAGGUCCAGGCGGUGUCGAAAUGGGUCUAUAGCUCUGCCUGAACUGUCGUCCAAUUGGUUUACAAGUCCGGCUGAAGUGGCAGGCCAUCAAAAACUGUACAGUGUGACUGAUUCGGAGACGGCCCUCAACACUCGCCCAGUCGUGUCGAGAGGAUCGGUGUCUUUGCAGAUUACACGGAAUUGAGCACCCGGGCCAGACUGACACUUUCCGGAGCCUGCCCUAGACGGAACUCGAGCCGAGGAAUCAUAGGUCCAGGCGGUGUCGAAAUGGGUCUAUAGCUCUGCCUGAACUGUCGUCCAAUUGGUUUACAAGUCCGGCUGAAGUGGCAGGCCAUCAAAAACUGUACAGUGUGACUGAUUCGGAGACGGCCCUCAACACUCGCCCAGUCGUGUCGAGAGGAUCGGUGUCUUUGCAGAUUACACGGAAUUGAGCACCCGGGCCAGACUGACACUUUCCGGAGCCUGCCCUAGACGGAACUCGAGCCGAGGAAUCAUAGGUCCAGGUGUGACAAAAGACUUAAAGCUCAUGUCUGACGAUGACUUUUUUUAGUCAGGAAGCCAAGUGUGUUGUUUUUCCAUGCAAGCGAGCCCUUUUGUUGGGUCAAAUGACAUCAGCAUUGCUGCUUCUACAUGGAUUUUACCUAAAAUGUGCAAAAAAAAUAUAAAAAGUUUGUUCGAAUCCAGUUCAAAACCUGCUUUGAUGCACAAAUAUUGCCAUUGAUGAUUUUUUUCACUUAUUAAGCCAUAUGUAAGAUAAGCUUUGCCUAUUAGAAUCGAAAGACAUGCCUUGUAUGGAGUCUAAGUGCUGCAUGUAUGAUGUAACCGAGUUUGGCUUUUCUACCUUAAUUCUUGACGCGAAACGCUGUUACGCAUGGCGCUUUCAACGGCAACUUUUAUGAAUUAAUCUGUGUGUCAUUGUACCGGAACUUUGUGAUCUUUCUCAAAACAGAUUAUACCUGUGGGAAAAGUGCCUUUAAUUUAAAUUUGAAGGGGUUGGGUUCUCUUAAAGGUCACAUAACCCCAAACCGGAACUCCUGUUUUUAGGGUUACAUGCAGUCAGUUUGAUACUUAGCACACAUUGUUGAGUGCAUGCUGCCUAGGAUUUGUAAAAUACAUUGCAAAUGGUUGGUUUUGGUAUCAACUUGAAGGUAUAUUUGUAAGCAAUAAGAAAAUAAGCCAUUUUUGUGCUCUACUUUUUGUGUUGAUGGUUCCCGGCUUCGAAAGUAGGUCAUACUAUUUGAGCCCAAAAUGGUUGUCUGCACAGCUGUCAAAACCGGUUUGCCUAUUCUAAGGUAAAUAUUUUGAGUUUGCGCGUAUAGAAUUUAAUGACAUGCAUUUUUUUCAAAAGAUUAUGCAUUAAUCUUUCCAAUGAUGUAUGAUGAUAUAGUGGGUAUGCGCUUGAUCAUGGUAAAAAUUGAUAUCGAACUUCAACUAUUUUAUAUGUAAUAUAGAAGGAAAUUAAUUGCGCAUGCGUAA